GAUGAACGCUGGCGGCGUGCUUAGCACAUGCAAGUCGAACGGUGAAGCAGGAGCUUGCUCCUGUGGAUCAGUGGCGAACGGGUGAGUAACACGUGAGCAAUCUGCCCUGGACUCUGGGAUAAGCGUUGGAAACGACGUCUAAUACCGGAUACGAGGCGUGGGGGCAUCCCCAACGCCUGGAAAGAACUUCGGUCCAGGAUGAGCUCGCGGCCUAUCAGGUAGUUGGUGAGGUAACGGCUCACCAAGCCUACGACGGGUAGCCGGCCUGAGAGGGUGACCGGCCACACUGGGACUGAGACACGGCCCAGACUCCGACGGGAGGCAGCAGUGGGGAAUAUUGCACAAUGGGCGCAAGCCUGAUGCAGCAACGCCGCGUGAGGGACGACGGCCUUCGGGUUGUAAACCUCUUUUAGCAGGGAAGAAGCGAGAGUGACGGUACCUGCAGAAAAAGCACCGGCUAACUACGUGCCAGCCGCCGCUGUAAAAC
rnacentral:rRNA from 1 species